UUCCUUUCCGCCUCUAGAUGUUCAAUUCGUUGUAGUCUGGAUCAUGAGUUGGUGUGGGUGUUCCGCAACUCCCUUUGAGUCGAGAAGUCUCAACAGCUCGAUCAACACAUGAAAUGCUAAAGAAGCAGAUGCAGAAAACACGACUUGGAUGAUGAACAUGAUGAAGCAGCCUAAUGCAGUUUGGGAAAAAAUUAAAGUCGUCAUGGUAGAUAAGGACAUUCAAGAAAGAGAUGUUGUCAAGAAGUGUCUGCCAAAAGCUUCAGUUGUUAUAUGCCUUUUUCAUACCCUUUACUUGUUCAAUCGAGAAGUUACUUGUGAAAAAAUGGGCAGCACAUCAGGGCAGUGAAUCGUUUGCCUGGAACUGUUGCAGAAGAUGGCAUAUGCAAGAUGAGAGGCUGAGUAUACCACACUCUACUUGCAACUACAAAGAGAUGCCUCAAAAGAGUUUAGAGGCGGCAGUUUUCUGAAUUUCACCAACAAUAAUCGUCUUGAAAGUAUCAACGGCAAACUGAAACAAGUCAUGAAGAUACAACAAAGUCGAAACAAGCUUUAGGUAUGGAACUACCUCCACCUGUAAAGAAAAGAGGGCGCCCAAAUGGUCAUGCUUUGACAACAAUUGGGUUGCCAGCCAAGUGUUCUAAAUGAACAAAAGCAAACAAGCCAUGCAGUUUCAGUAAACUACACGUAUCUGACAAAAGAGAAUAAUUAUGGCCUGGUUUGUGGACAAGGAAGUCGCAGACAAAGCAAUAAGAUAUGACAUCUUGAUUGAAGAAGAACAAGUUGACUGCAGAUCUGAAAAAGUCCCAGACGCUACAGUAAACGAAGACAUCAAUGUCUGCCUUGUCUGCUGCCACUUUUCUGCUGAUGCUUGGCUAGUAAUUGAAGAUCUAAUGAAGCAGAAAGUAGAGAAGAUGACAUGGAUAUGUCAUGCAUGCUUUCACGAUCUCCACACCGAACAAGCUAUCCUCUGUGACUCCUGUUUGAAGUGGUUUCACUUCAGUUGUGUGGGGAUAACAAAAUUUCCAAAGUCACGGAACUAGUUCUGUCCUCCUUGCUACUGUUCUGCUCUUCAAAGCACUGAAGUAGAUAUCUUUAGUGUAGAUAGUAGAUUAGGCUAAUUAGUUACUGAUGCCUGAAGUUACGCACGUGCAAGCGUCAUGUGAUCGAGCAAUGACAGUUAGAA